rnacentral:rRNA from 1 species
GUGGGGAAUAUUGGACAAUGGGCGAAAGCCUGAUCCAGCAAUGCCGCGUGCAGGAAGAAGGCCUUCGGGUUGUAAACUGCUUUUGUACGGAACGAAACGGUCCUGGUUAAUACCCGGGGCUAAUGACGGUACCGUAAGAAUAAGCACCGGCUAACUACGUGCCAGCAGCCGCGGUAAUACGUAGGGUGCAAGCGUUAAUCGGAAUUACUGGGCGUAAAGCGUGCGCAGGCGGUUUUGUAAGACAGGCGUGAAAUCCCCGGGCUCAACCUGGGAAUUGCGCUUGUGACUGCAAGGCUGGAGUGCGGCAGAGGGGGAUGGAAUUCCGCGUGUAGCAGUGAAAUGCGUAGAUAUGCGGAGGAACACCGAUGGCGAAGGCAAUCCCCUGGGCCUGCACUGACGCUCAUGCACGAAAGCGUGGGGAGCAAACAGGAUUAGAUACCCCGGUAGUCC